UACGGAGGGUGCAAACGUUGCUCGGAAUCAUUGGGCGUAAAGCGCACGUAGGCGGCCUGUUAAGUCGGGUGUGAAAGCCCUGGGCUCAACCCAGGAAGUGCAUUCGAAACUGGCGGGCUUGAAUAUGGAAGAGGGUCGCGGAAUUCCCGGUGUAGAGGUGAAAUGCGCAGAUAUCAGGAGGAACACCGAUGGCGAAGGCAGGUCUCUGGGCCGAUACUGACGCUGAGGAGCGAAAGCGUGGGGAGCGAACAGG
rnacentral:rRNA from 1 species